UGGACAAGCUAUGAACACUACCCACGCUCUCACCCUCCGCUGCGCGCUGCCUCCGCCUUCCUCCGCCCUUUCCUCCGGCGCCCCUCUCCCAUCCACCAACUCCAAACCUUCCUCACUCCGCCUCCAAACCACCAAAAAUUCCUCCACCACCGUCUGCCAAAGAGGGAAAUGAGAAGAGAAUUUCAGUUUUUAAACAAAAAGGGGAACGAAAUGAAAGGAAUUAGAAACUAAAGAAAUAUAGGGUUUUUACCAAGGCAGACGGACGGCGGCGGCCGCGACUCUGCUGCUGUCGGUUGAAGAUUUGAAGGGGAGAACGAGCGGUGGCGGCGGCCGGAGGAGGGCUGCUGUCGUCCGCCGAAGUUUGUUGGAAAGAGAGAGAGAGAUUUUGUCAGAUCUGGGGGAGAGGAGAGUGAGGACGGCGGCGCUAGUGUCGUCGGUAGGAGUCAGGAGGGGGAGGCGGCGUGGCUGGCGGCGGCCGAUUCUGUGGGAGCCGUGAUUGUGGCUAGGGCUCAGACGGCGGAGGCUCUCACCGUCGCCGAUCUAAGUCAGAGGGGUAAAGGAGAUGAGGCGGUGAUGCCGCCGAGAGAGAGAAGGGAGAGCCGGGCGUGUCAGCGGCUUAUCGCCGUUGCUUUGCCGGGAAGGACGAGCGGCGGCACCCACGCCGCUGAUUUGAGUGCGGAUCUGGGUGUGUGCGUUGGGUGUGAGAAGAGAGAAAGUGAUAGAAAGAAAAGGGAGAGGAGGGAGAAGAUGGCGGUUGGCCGCGAUGGAGCUGCCGGGCUCCGGCGAUGGCGCAAAGUGGCUGUGGCGGCGGAACCUAGGGCUGAGAGAGAGGGAUGAAAUCUGAGAGAGAGAUAGUGAGAAUGGGAGGGGGCGCGGCGCAGGAGAGAA
rnacentral:lncRNA from 1 species